rnacentral:sRNA from 1 species
AAAGGUCAGGCCGAGGCCGGCGCGGAGAAUCUGCCGUCGCCUGCAUCUGCUCGCCUAUCUCCGUCGGAAGGGAGCCCAAGCUUUGCUGAGAGACGGAGUUUCACCGUGUUAGCCAGGAUGGUCUCAAUUUCCUGACCUCAUGAUCCGCCCGCCUCGGCCUCCUAAAGUGCUGGGAUUACAGGCGUGAGCCACUGCGCCUGGCCUCAGCCAAGGUUUUUAAGUAACAUAUUUCAGCAUUGGCUCUACAGCUUUGCAGGUUGGUCACAGAAGCAUUAGCUGGGUCUGAAAUGUUAGUAAGCAUUUUAUUAUUCCAGCAAAGAUUCACAUGAAUUAACUAUGUAUCAGAAGGCAUGACAACUGCAGUGUGCUUGCUGAGCAAAAAAUUACCAUUGCAGUAAAUUCUCAUGCUCCCAGGCUAAACGGAUUAUCAGCUAGGGAUCUGAGAAGAAAUCCCCUGUUCCUUUUGAGCCAAAUAACCUGCUGCUGGGUCACUGUAGCCUUAGCUUUGUUGUCUGUUUACUGCAGAAUGGUGCAUCCAAAUCCCUAUUUUCUCUU